GGGGGUGUAGCUCAGUGGUAGAGCGCGGGCUUAGCAUGCACGAGGCCCUGCGUUCAAUGCCCAGCACCUCCA
rnacentral:tRNA from 1 species